ACGAUUUUCCCUCUCGAGCCACAGCUGCCUGCCCUAAUCCUUUCCCCGCCGCCGACUUCUCCUGAUUACCCUUGUGAGUUCCUGUGCACAGCCGGGACUUCUUCUUCCUCGAGCUAUAGCCGCCGCUUCUCCUUGCACCAGCAUCACGGCACCAGCCGAUCUCCCUCACGCGGGCACCACAGCUUGCGAUCUCACCCUCAGCCGAAGUCGCGGCCGCCGAUUCUCUCCAAGUCGUGCCCUAACCAAACCAGCAAGUAGAUUCCCUUCGGCAGUUCUGGUGAAUUGAUGAUUGGGCUCUUGUUCGGAGGAUUGUGAUGCAGUUUUGUGUUGCUGGUUUUUCUGUGUUUACAGAUUUCGGACAGAAUUUGUUAGGACGUUGAUUGAAGACGGUUGAUACAAUCUACGUAUAAAGGCGGGUAUUUUU